GAUGAACGCUAGCUACAGGCUUAACACAUGCAAGUCGAGGGGUAGCAGGGUAGCAAUACCGCUGACGACCGGCGCACGGGUGAGUAACACAUAUCCAACCUUCCCAUAACUCGGGGAUAGCCUUUCGAAAGAAAGAUUAAUACCCGAUAGUACUUUUUCAAGGCAUCUUGAGAAAGUUAAAGAUUUAUUGGUUAUGGAUGGGGAUGCGUUCCAUUAGAUAGUUGGUGAGGUAACGGCUCACCAAGUCUUCGAUGGAUAGGGGUUCUGAGAGGAAGGUCCCCCACAUUGGUACUGAGACACGGACCAAACUCCUACGGGAGGCAGCAGUGAGGAAUAUUGGUCAAUGGGCGAGAGCCUGAACCAGCCAAGUAGCGUGAAGGAUGAAGGUCCUAUGGAUUGUAAACUUCUUUUACAGUAGAAUAAAGUGAUCCACGUGUGGAUUUUUGUAUGUAUACUAUGAAUAAGGAUCGGCUAACUCCGUGCCAGCAGCCGCAGUAA
rnacentral:rRNA from 1 species